UUCGUCACACUAUCAUUAACUGAAUCCAUAGGUUAAUGAGGCGAACCGGGGGAACUGAAACAUCUAAGUACCCCGAGGAAAAGAAAUCAACCGAGAUUCCCCCAGUAGCGGCGAGCGAACGGGGAGCAGCCCAGAGCCUGAAUCAGUGUGUGUGUUAGUGGAAGCGUCUGGAAAGGCGCGCGAUACAGGGUGACAGCCCCGUACACAAAAAUGCACAUGCUGUGAGCUCGAUGAGUAGGGCGGGACACGUGGUAUCCUGUCUGAAUAUGGGGGGACCAUCCUCCAAGGCUAAAUACUCCUGACUGACCGAUAGUGAACCAGUACCGUGAGGGAAAGGCGAAAAGAACCCCGGCGAGGGGAGUGAAAAAGAACCUGAAACCGUGUACGUACAAGCAGUGGGAGCACGCUUAGGCGUGUGACUGCGUACCUUUUGUAUAAUGGGUCAGCGACUUAUAUUCUGUAGCAAGGUUAACCGAAUAGGGGAGCCGAAGGGAAACCGAGUCUUAACUGGGCGUUAAGUUGCAGGGUAUAGACCCGAAACCCGGUGAUCUAGCCAUGGGCAGGUUGAAGGUUGGGUAACACUAACUGGAGGACCGAACCGACUAAUGUUGAAAAAUUAGCGGAUGACUUGUGGCUGGGGGUGAAAGGCCAAUCAAACCGGGAGAUAGCUGGUUCUCCCCGAAAGCUAUUUAGGUAGCGCCUCGUGAAUUCAUCUCCGGGGGUAGAGCACUGUUUCGGCAAGGGGGUCAUCCCGACUUACCAACCCGAUGCAAACUGCGAAUACCGGAGAAUGUUAUCACGGGAGACACACGGCGGGUGCUAACGUCCGUCGUGAAGAGGGAAACAACCCAGACCGCCAGCUAAGGUCCCAAAGUCAUGGUUAAGUGGGAAACGAUGUGGGAAGGCCCAGACAGCCAGGAUGUUGGCUUAGAAGCAGCCAUCAUUUAAAGAAAGCGUAAUAGCUCACUGGUCGAGUCGGCCUGCGCGGAAGAUGUAACGGGGCUAAACCAUG
rnacentral:rRNA from 1 species